rnacentral:rRNA from 1 species
UGGGGAAUAUUGCACAAUGGGCGCAAGCCUGAUGCAGCCAUGCCGCGUGUGUGAAGAAGGCCUUCGGGUUGUAAAGCACUUUCAGCGAGGAGGAAGGUGGUGAGCUUAAUACGCUCAUCAAUUGACGUUACUCGCAGAAGAAGCACCGGCUAACUCCGUGCCAGCAGCCGCGGUAAUACGGAGGGUGCAAGCGUUAAUCGGAAUUACUGGGCGUAAAGCGCACGCAGGCGGUUUGUUAAGUCAGAUGUGAAAUCCCCGGGCUCAACCUGGGAACUGCAUUUGAAACUGGCAAGCUAGAGUCUCGUAGAGGGGGGUAGAAUUCCAGGUGUAGCGGUGAAAUGCGUAGAGAUCUGGAGGAAUACCGGUGGCGAAGGCGGCCCCCCUGGACGAAGACUGACGCUCAGGUGCGAAAGCGUGGGGCAGCAAACAGGAUUAGAUACCCUGGUAGUCCACGCUGUAAACGAUGUCGAUUUGGAGGUUGUGCCCUUGAGGCGUGGCUUCCGGAGCUAACGCGUUAAAUCGACCGCCUGGGGAGUACGGCCGCAAGGUUAAAACUCAAAGGAAUUGAC